UACAGAGGUCUCAAGCGUUGUUCGGAUUCAUUGGGCGUAAAGGGUGUGUAGGUGGCGCGCUAAGUCGGGUGUGAAAUUUCGGAGCUUAACUCCGAAACUGCAUUCGAUACUGGCGUGCUUGAGGACUGGAGAGGAGACUGGAAUUCAUGGUGUAGCAGUGAAAUGCGUAGAGAUCAUGAGGAAGACCAGUGGCGAAGGCGGGUCUCUGGACAGUUCCUGACACUGAGACACGAAGGCCAGGGGGAGCAAAACGGGG
rnacentral:rRNA from 1 species